rnacentral:tRNA from 1 species
GCGGAAGUGGCGGAACUGGUAGACGCGCUAGGUUCAGGGUCUAGUGUGCGCAGGCACAUGGGGGUUCAAGUCCCCCCUUCCGCACCA